UUUGCAAACACUUUUACGUUUAAGUUUGCCUAUUCUUCAGAGAGAAGUCGUUAAUGGAGUGAAUAACCCGGACGAAGCCAAAGAUUAUUAUUCAAUGCAGAAAAUUAUUAACUUUUUUCUUGAAGAAUUGUCUGAAGAUUGGCUUUCCUUGGCGUAUGACCCGUAUGGGAGCCAUGUUUUACGGGUUCUUCUCGGCCUUUUAUGCGGCCAAUUCGUCGAUGAACGACUCGUUCGAUCAAAAUCAUCGAUUGGCUUUACUGAAGCUAAGAAGACGGCCUUGAAAUGCAGCUCAGUGGCAUACAAAGUUCCUCCUGAAUUUAAAGGUUUGUAUGAAGAUUUAGUAAUUAGGAUUGUGGAUACAU